GAGAGAGAGAGACAGACAGGGCUGUGCUGCAACAACUCAGAGAGAGAGAGACAGACAGGGCUGUGAUGCAACAACUCAGAGUGAGAGAGAGAGAGAGAGAGAGAGAGAAAGAGAGACAGGGCUGUGCUGCAACAACUCAGAGAGAGAGAGAGAGACAGACAGGGCUGUGCUGCAACAACUCAGAGAGAGAGAGACAGACAGGGCUAGAGAGAGAGAGAGAGAGAGAGAGACAUGGCUGUGCUGCAACAACUCAGAGUGAGAGAGAGAGACUUUUCUCUCGACCUCUUUUCUCUCCGCAUCUUUCUCUCCCACGCUCCCGAGUAGAGGGCAGACUCUUCAGCUACCUGGGACCCUCCACUACUCCCCAGCUGCAGGGAGGUCAUAGAUGGAUUGUGAUGACCUCAU
ensembl:lncRNA